UGGAAGGACAUCCAGCUGUAAAAAUCUUAUCAAAAUUAACUUUGCCUGUGUUUGCGCCACAUAAAAAGCACUAAGUCCACUCUGCUGAGUGGUUGGUGUUAGGAAGUGCAUCCAGCUGUAAAAAUCCUGCCAAAACAAACCAUAGUCAAAGGUAGUUUUUCAAUCUGG